rnacentral:rRNA from 1 species
UACCAGACUCCUACGGGAGGCAGCAGUGGGGAAUAUUGCACAAUGGGGGAAACCCUGAUGCAGCGACGCCGCGUGAGUGAAGAAGUAUUUCGGUAUGUAAAGCUCUAUCAGCAGGGAAGAUAAUGACGGUACCUGACUAAGAAGCCCCGGCUAACUACGUGCCAGCAGCCGCGGUAAUACGUAGGGGGCAGGCGUUAUCCGGAUUUACUGGGUGUAAAGGGUGCGUAGGUGGCAUGGCAAGUCAGAAGUGAAAGCCCGGGGCUCAACCCCGCGGACUGCUUUUGAAACUGUCAGGCUGGAGUACAGGAGAGGUAAGCGGAAUUCCUAGUGUAGCGGUGAAAUGCGUAGAUAUUAGGAGGAACACCAGUGGCGAAGGCGGCUUACUGGACUGUAACUGACACUGAGGCACGAAAGCGUGGGGAGCAAACAGGAUUAGAUACCCGUGUA